rnacentral:rRNA from 3 species
UCUGGUGACGAUGGCGAAGUGGUCACACCUGUUCCCAUCCCGAACACAGCAGUUAAGCACUUCCGCGCCGAGGGUAGUACGUUUGUGCGAGAGUAGGUCGUUGCCAGGC